UGAGGAAUAUUGCGCAAUGGACGAAAGUCUGACGCAGCCAUGCCGCGUGCAGGAUGACGGCCCUAUGGGUUGUAAACUGCUUUUGUAUAGGAAGAAACUCGAAUACGUGUAUUUGAUUGACGGUACUAUAUGAAUAAGCAUCGGCUAACUCCGUGCCAGCAGCCGCGGUAAUACGGAGGAUGCAAGCGUUAUCCGGAUUUAUUGGGUUUAAAGGGUGCGUAGGCGGAAUAUUAAGUCAGUGGUGAAAUCCUGCAGCUUAACUGUAGCACUGCCAUUGAUACUGAGAUUCUUGAGUACGGUUGAGGUAGGCGGAAUGUGUAAUGUAGCGGUGAAAUGCUUAGAUAUGACACAGAACACCGAUCGCGAAGGCAGCUCGCUAAGCUAUAACUGACGCUCAUGCACGAAAGCGUGGGGAUCAAACAG
rnacentral:rRNA from 1 species